CCCUCAAUCCGACACUAUAAGUACUCUGGCAGUCCGUCUCCAGUGUAUGACUGACUGUUUAGAGGGAGAGAAAGAAAGCGAGAGAGAGAGUGGGAGGGGGCGGUAGAGAGUUUAAAUUCACUGACAGUGAUAACAAUGAUAUUAUUCGUUCUCCGCUGAAACGGGGAAGCACUUUCAGAGAAUACGGCACGCUUCCUCUGUCUCUAUCGCUUUAAGAGUGUUACUGAUUAGUCGCUAAAGAAUGCGAGUGGAAAGAGAGAGAGAGAGAAAAAAGGGACAGAGGCAGAAGGGAGAGACAGACUGAGAGCGCUGGAGCCUGGAACUCGUAUGGAGAAGACUGAUAAUACCGAGCUGAGUAGAGUUUUGUUUUAUUUUCCAGCAGUACGGAGACGUUAAUGGAGCUCUCGCUCUCGCUCUCUGUGCUUGCGGCUCCUGAAGAGGCUGGACGAAGGGGGAAGUCGGGGACCCCGCACAUGCAGGCAGCUCUCAGCCAUCAGGAAAUACUCUUUUCACCCAGACAGAGGUUAUUCAGAAUCUUCUCAGAUCACAUGAUGCUCCAUGUCUUCAUUUCAAUUUAGGUGAGCACAUACAUCAUUUAAUUUUGCAGCUAAUUUCCUGCCUCACUGCAUUUGCCAGCUUCUUCAGUACCUUCAGUCUUGUGGAUGCACAUUAUAAAAAAAAUGUGGUAAAAAAAUAAAUUCCAGUCUAACACAUUUUAAACAGUGUUGAACUCAAUAGAAAUUUUUCAUAGGCUGUCAGCUUCCACAUCAGUAUCUGCCGCAAAGCCAUUACACUUUAACUUGCCAUCACAUUUUAUCUGAAAUGUGCAGAAAUGUCUGCUGCAGCACUUUAGCUCAGAACUUUAGUAUCUACAAUACAAGCCGUGUCUUAUGUGCUGACUAGCAGGCCCUUGGGCUGAGCAGUGACUGUGGAAGGUUAUGAAUGGAAUGUGCCGGAAUUUUCCUAAUGUUUACAGGUCAUUCAUGUGAAGUCGCGGGCUGGGGCUUCUCCUUAGGGGCAGACAAUAGUGUUGCAGCAGGAAGCGCAUACCUCCCUCGAGAGCCCCACGGCACGCUCCCCCACCCCGUUGUAGCGCCACACACAAGAAAAUAAAAAACGGAGCAAAUUAGGAAGGCUUGACAGGGUGGUAGACGCAUGCAUAUUUGUAGCUUUAUCCCAGGAAUUGUUUAGUUUACUUAAAGCGUGGCUUUUGUGAUUCACGCUUUACAAAGCGUUUGUUCGUGCAUUUAAUUUUCAGAGCCUGUUGUUGGUGCUGCCAGCAAAAGUACAAUAGGAAUGUAAAUGGAACAGAAUGAAACAAUAUAGCUGUCAACAUCAGCUGUCAGUCUGGAAAUGAAACAGCAAAUUUUGACAGAAUUUUUAAACUCUAGAAUCCAAAGCAGUUCACGGUCAGACAGUCAGUUUUUCAUUUAAACUGCCUAAUCAUAAUUCUAGCAUUGCAUAAACUAAGCCCACGUUUACAAGACACAACAACACAGAGAUCCAUUCUACAAGCACCAUUCUAUUAAGGCUCUCACAUGACAGUUCACUGCUCACUAAAUGGCCUUAACUGUUUCAUAAACACUCUCUUACAAAAGAGUACUGUGUCCGUACCAUGGUACAGUGAUGGUAUCUGGUCGUACUUUGAUAUGUGGGUCAAUGGUAUGACACUCAGUUUUUGGUUUUAUCUUUAAUUUAUCUUUUUGUCUGUCAAUGCUGCUGUUCAAAAGAUUGAGUUACUAAGGUUUUUUUUUACAAAUCCGUUAUGUUAGUGAAUAUAUUAGUGAAAUAAUAGUGGAAUAUUAAUAUAUUUUAAAAUGUAAGCCAUUCCUGUGAUGGCAAAGCUGAAUUUUAGCAGUCUUCAGUGCUACAGGAUCCUUCAGAAAUGAUUCUAAUAUGCUGAUGGGUGUUUAAGAAACACUUCUUAUGUUGAAAGCAGCUGUGCUGCUUAAUAUUUUUGUGGAAACUGAAAUAGAAAAUUAAAAAUGAACAGUAUUUAUUUCGAACAGACAUCUUUUGUAACAAUGCAAAUGUCUUUGCUGUCACUUUUGAUUUAAUGCAUCUUAGCUGAAUUAAAGUUCAUUUUGAUAUAUUGGUAACGCUUUGCGUUUUCCCUCAAUAAACUGCUAAUUUGCCGCUUAUUAAUAGUUAGUAAGGUAGUUGUUAAGUUUAGGUAUUGGGUUAGGGUAAGGGAUCUAGUAUAUGAUCAUACAGAAUAAAGCAUUAAUAUGUGCCUAGUAAUUACUAAUAAACAAUAAAUAUGUUAGUAAUAUGCAUGCUAAUAAGCAACUAUUUAAUCCUGAGAACAGGUCCUUAAAAUGAAGUGUUACUGGUAUUUUUAGGGUUGUUUUAGAAUGUAAAAUGUAAAACAUAAUGAUAUUUAUUAUGUAUGAAUGUGAUGAUGUAAAAAAUAUAUUUAUGAAUUAUAUUUUUGGGUGGAAAAUAACUAAAUAAUUAUUAUCCGAUGGUUACGCCACCAUUUUUUUUUCAUGGGCACAAUUAUUGGUAUUCCUUGACCCAUAUACUGGAUACUGAAUGAUUACCAUUAAUUUACUCUGCUAUUUACAUGGUACUUCAAGGUAAUUGAUAGAUCAUUUGGUAGGCAAAUUUACCCCCAAAUGGCCAUACUUUUCCCAUUCUGGAAUCAACCAGAUUCAAAUUACUCAACUGGAAGUCGAUCCAUUGUCUCUUUUUCGAUAAAUAUCGUCAUUAGCUCUCCAAACUUAUGCUGUCACUGUCCCACAGUUUAAUCAGACUCCUUACAGAAGGCCAAAUGCUGACAGUGAGCACAGACCACUGGAAUUCAGGUUAGGAAUGAACUCCCUAAUGGAGAAAAAUUGGAGUCAAGUGACCAUCAGCUGGUCGAAGGAUGUUUGAUCAAUACAGUCACAAGGUCUCAGGUAUGCAGGGCUGGAGCCUUUACAGGAGGGUGCAAAGACAGCCUACAGUCUCUGCGCGCUUCUGUCAGUCAAACGGCAAACGAUUAUGCUUUAUUGCUAACCAGUACAAUAAUCUUGUGCAUAAAUGGCCUUACACUCUCAGCAUCCUUGCCAACAGGAAGUAUUUAGUGCUAUGUGAGUCACUCUCUUUUGUUUGUCUGGCUGAGGAUGAUUUAAUUAGUCGACGACCCAAUCAAAGUGCACCUUUGGCGGCUAACAAGCACCCACUUCUAAUUAAUAAGACUUGAAUUGAGCGCUCUGACUGAUGUAGCCUAAUGCGUGCCAAACCACUAAGUGGAUUCGGGAAAUAAUAGUUUGCAAACCCAAGCUUACAUUUUCAUGAUAUCUAACCAUUCUCAGGUCAAAAGAAAAGCUUUAUGAUGCCAUUUGUUAUGAGAAAAAUGCACCAAGCAGGUCUGGUUAGGCUAAAAGGGUGUGAUGAGCACCUUUAAAAGGCACUGGAGCCAUGGCCUCUGUCUGCCGUCCUGCCUCCAGGCUAAUGGGAAAGAAUGAGAAAUAUUUGCGAGAGUGCUAACGCCAUGCUUAAAAAUGCCCAUCGGGAGAUUAGCUCCCCCUCCCCGGUGCUGCCUGUCUGCAAAAAGGAGGGCUGUUGUCGUCCUCCGGCGCUGCAGACACUUUGAUUUGGGGUUGUCUAACCAUUCGCUUCUUUGUCUCUGUCUUCCUCAGGCGCUGAGGACGGCUCAAGUGGACGACCGCUGCCAGUGGAUUGUUAGGGUGCUCAUGAGGUGCUCAGUAGUCAGUGUAGAUCCUGUGUUGCAAUCAGCAGCUACAUCUGGCUACUGGGUCUCUGAUGGCAUUUUCUGCUUCCUGUUGGCACAUUCCUUUCAGAUUGUGUGGUAUGUUAUCACAAUGUGUGCCUCAUCCUGUCAGAAUAGGACUCGCUCUUUCAUGGACGUUAAAGAGGGCCCUUGUCAUAACAGGUCUGGUGGUGUUUUCGCACCUUUAGCCUAGUUUGUUGUGGAUUUUUCUUCUUUUUUUUCUUAAAAAAUGCGAUCAAGGUGAGUAAGCUGUCAAAGUGUAGCUAAAAGUCACGAGAAGCCAUUUCAGGCAUUUUUGAAAGAAAGGACUGAGACAUUGUUUCUUGUUUGACUGCUGAAGAUUCAGUUUAAGUGAUUAGGUAACAAAGGACAAGGCGACAUGUCACAUUCUCUUUGUGAUUUGCCUGUCACAAGGGGCUGUCUUUGUGCAAAUGUUUUUGAGUUGUUGAAGGCUGACAAAUAAUGAGAGUUAAACGCGCAGACGCGCGUCGGUUUCGAAGAGCGAAGGAUGAAUUCUUUUGUGCUGUCGUGAACCUGGCAUACAAUGUAGAUUUCUGUGUGGUACAAUCUACAGCUACAUUGUCUGCUGGGUUUCAGGCCAGCAGAGAAAUUCUGCUCGGCUCAGAAACCGAAAAGGUGAGUCGUUACGUCGUUGCGCGUGCUUGAAAAAGACUUAUUCCUCCUACUAUGUGAAUAAAAUACAAUAAAAGUCCUGAAAGUAUAAAAACUA